GUCUACAGCCAUACUACCCUGAAGGUGCCCAGCCUCAUCUGAUCUUGGCAGCUAAGCAGGGUCAGGCCUGGUUAGUACUUGGAUGGGAGAAAAAUUCACUGUUGACU
rnacentral:rRNA from 1 species